AUUGAACGCUGGCGGCAGGCCUAACACAUGCAAGUCGAACGAGUGGCGGACGGGUGAGUAAUGUCUGGGAAACUGCCUGAUGGAGGGGGAUAACUACUGGAAACGGUAGCUAAUACCGCAUACCAUCGGAUGUGCCCAGAUGGGAUUAGCUAGUAGGUGGGGUAACGGCUCACCUAGGCGACGAUCCCUAGCUGUUCUGAGAGGAUGACCAGCCACACGGGAACUGAGACACGGACCAGACGCCUACGGGAGGCAGAAGUGGGGAAGAUUGCACAAGGGGCGCAAGCCAGAUGCAGCCAUGCCGCGGGUAUGAAGAAGGCCUUCGGGUUGUAAAGUACGUUCAGCGAGGAGGCGUUACCCGCAGAAGAAGCACCGGCUAACUCCGUGCCAGCAGCCGCGGUAAUUC
rnacentral:rRNA from 1 species